rnacentral:misc_RNA from 1 species
GCGCGGUUGCCAGUCUACUUUUUCAACGGCGCGCCCGCAGCGAUCGCGAAACGUGUCAUUAGAGCAGCGUAAAAGGGAGCAUCGAUAAGAAAGGUGUUGAGAGCGCGAGAUACGAAGCGGACGAGUCUUCGACGAGAUACGAGGCGAUCGCGAGGUGUUAAGAGGCCGCUGCGUUAUGAAUAGGCGUUCCACGCGAGCAAACGAAACGCACAAUGUAGCGACGAAACAGAGGCGAAGCGAUUCAACGCUCAUGGUCCAGGAGCAUAGAUAUUCGGAGCGAAAAAUGAUCAGCAAGGAAUCGGCCUUGGGGCGGCAUUUCGCGCGGGUCGCGCAGCGUGGAAUUAACCGGUGCUUGGCCCUUUUCUAAAACCAACACGUAAUUAUCUCGCCGACGGUUGUGCGGUAAUUUUCAACCCGGCGGCCCUUUUUCCACCGACAGGUACCGGACCGUGCAGAUAACCGAUAUUUACAUGGCAGGUGAUAUCAAUUAUCGUUCCAGAGGCGCCGCGCUUCGCCCCGGGGGCUGAAAUUGCAGCCGGGCUUUUUCGGCCCACUUCUACCGCCAAUUUACUCGAUUCGCGCCUUCGACGACUUUUUUUGCGGAGACUUCUCUAGCCUCUA